UUAUCAAUUAUUUCUUUCACGGAUAAUGCCAUUGGUGUUAUAUCUAAAAAGGCAUCAGAAUAACCAGUCAUCUAAGUUAUUUCCUGCUGUUAUUUGCUAGGAAUUUUAUAGUUUUAUGUUACAUAUUUAUGUCUAUGAACCAUUCUGAGUAAAUUUUUAUGAGGAGUGCAAGGUCUGUAUUUAGAUGCUUUUUUUUUUUUUCACAUGUAGAUGUCCAGUUGUUCCAGUGCAAGUUACUAAAGAAACUAACUUGCUCCAUUUGUAUCACCUUUGCAUCUUUGUCAAAGAUCAAUUGACUCUUUUUCUGGAGAUCUAUUCCAGGGCUCUCUGUUCUGUUCUAGUGAUCUAACUGUCUCUUCCUUCACCUAUACUACACUGUUUCAAUUACUGUAGCUUAAUAGUAAGUUCUGAAGUUGGGCAGUAUCAGUCCUCCAACUUUGUUUUUCUCCUUCAAUAUUGUAUUGGGCAUUCUGUUUCUUUUGCCUCUCCAUAUAAACUUUAGAGUCAGUUGAUCAAUAUCCAUAAGGUAACUUACUGAGAUUUUCACUGAGAUUGCACUGAAUCUAUAGAUCAAUUUGGGAAGAACUGACAUCUUGAUACUAUCGAGUCUUCUUGUCUAUGAACAUGGAAUAUCUCUCCAUUUAUUUAGUUCUCCUUUGAUUUCAUUCAUCAGGGUUGUAUGGUUUUCCUCAUGUAGAUUUACAUAUAUUUUGUUCAUUGUAAGCUUUUGAGAAAGAUGAGGUUUCUUUUUGCAAGUUGGGUUCUUUGCACAUCCUAGUAAGUAUGAGACCUGUUUUAGUUUAGAGAGGAAAGUUCAUUACCUAAAAUUGUGUGGAAAUGAAAAAAAGUAGGGAUCAUCAGUUAUUGCAUUUUUAUUUUUCUCCACACAAUAUAUAGUAUCAAAGAGUUUUCUGUCACAGUACUUAUGAUAAAUAUAAUUAUGCCUUUACUAGUUAUAUGGCUAUGGAGUUGCUUUGCUAUAGUUUAAGCUCCAUGAGGGCAAGGUCAAAAUUUGUACCUUCACCAUGGUAUGGCUGCCAUAUAGUGCAUGCUCUGCAAAUAUGAACAAAAAUGGUAUGUGCCAUAAAAGAGGGGAAGAUCUCAAGUUCUAUAACAAAAUUAGAAAAAAAAAAAACCUUUCAAAAGAGAUGGCAGGUAAUGUAGCCUUAAAUAGAGGCUGAUAGUUUGACAUAUAGAUAUGAAAGAUUACAUGGUGCUCAGUGUAAUUAUGGAAUUGAGUAUACUUUAGUGUGUAGUAGUCCUUUGAAAAUUGAUAAUAUAUAUUUAUAAAGCAGCUUAUUAAUAAUCUUUUAAAACAUUAGAAUUAAUCCCAUUUGUUUACCCUAAAACCAAUCUAGGGAAAGGGACAUUUUCUCUGUAUGAAGGGAAGCAUAAGGGAAGGACUGUGAAAUCUUAGCUAUUGAAGGAUGUAAAGAGUUAAGCAUUAUUCCAAAGUGUUAGCUUAAAAGACCAGUAGGCACAGUCUCAUUCUGAUAAAGAGACUGAGCAAGAGAAGAAUUUAAGUAUGAGAUAAGAAGCUCUGUUUCCAUCCACCAGCAAAGUAAUUGAUGAAGCGGCAAACUUAGAGACAAAUUGUAGACAUGAGGCAGCAUGCCAUGUGGAGAGAGCUUUGGUAUUAAAUAAAUAUAGGCUUUACCUUCAGCUCUGCCACUAACUAGCUAGCAACUUGGGACAUAUUAGAUAAACUUAUUAAGUAUCAGCUUCUUUAGUAAGAUGAAGAUAAUGCCCUGUAGGAUUUUUAUUUAGAUAAAAUAAUAUAUGUAAAAGGGACUAGCACAGAAUUUAAAACAUCAUAAGUAUUCAGGAAAUGCUUUUCUAUCUUUUCUUUGUCUGCUUUGUCCGCUUAGGUCUUGAGUUUUGCUUCUUUCUAAGAAGAUAUUAAUUUCUUUGUACCACACAGGUUCUUUGUGUAUCCCAAAAUUUGGAAGCAAGUAUUUAAAGAGAAUAGCAACCCAAGUCUAAUAGUAAAACCAACUAGUUUGAUCUGCAGCAUCAAAUCUUGAAAAUUAAAGUUUGGAAUUGUUACUUCUGAAAAUGCUUAAAACAAUUUAUCCAUUUAGUUAGUCCGCCUCCUCUGUUCUUUUCUCAAGUUAAAAGAGAAUUAAAGGUCAAGUUUAUAGCUCAGAUGUAGAUUAAUGUAUAUCAAAUUCUCUACUCUAGUUGAAAAAUUCAGCCAGGUCCUGUAGUGAUGGAACAGACCUUGCUGUGACUGGAAGGACCCUGGAACUUAAAUGAAGCAGGAGUCAAACCAUUUAUAACUAGGUGCUGAGAAAUAGCACAUGACACCAUUCAGAUUGCUGGAUUUACAGUCAGAAGAUUUCUGCUUCAACCCUUGGUCUUCUGCUUAUUAGCUUGGUGAUCCUAAAUAGGACCUACCUGAGCUCCCAGAAGAAAACUCUGGAGCUUCAAUAGUGCUGACCGAAAAUGCUUAGUAAAUGUUUGUUGAAUGAAUAAAUGUCUCAAAAACUGACAGCAAUACUUAGUUUCCAUGUAUUGGUGCUGUGGUCCCCUAUAGCUUCCCUUAAGCCCACAGACUAUGUAAAAUCCAACUUAGUUGCCAGCCCCCACUCUUUAGCCAGAAAUGUGUGUUCCUGUCAUGCAAUGAAAGCAACUGGCCUAGGUGGCUGACAUAUCACUUGUCAUCUUUAAUAUUCCUUCAUAAUAAAAUCCCUUCAUGGAUUCAUAUAUCACCUGUCAGGUAAUCUUCUAGAGAAGCUUGACUAUAACAAUUUGUACAGUGGUUUGGAUGAUGAAUGAGAUGGGUUAGAUCAUUUAAUUCACUGUAUGGCACCCAAAUGUUAAAGCUGAAGAAGAAGAAUGUCUGACAAAUUGUUUGUUGUCAUUAAGGUUUAUUUCUUAUAUGCCUUCGAUGGUUUCCCCCACCUCAUUCAUUGUCCAACACACAAAGCUAACUAUUACAAGGAAGACAAUACUUAAUGGAUGCUAGACAAAUGAUAGUUGAAGCUGUCUUGUGCCUUACCCGAUAAGUGAGAGCCAAAUUAUAAUGUCAUUAGAUGGGAUGCCUCAAGUUAUUAUAAAGUUGUGCUUCCCACAAUGUCCUUCCUUUAUCCUCAGCAUGGUUCUUCCUGGCAUCUGUUUUCCUCAGCAGCUGCACUGUUUUUAUAAUAGCUGAGAUCAAGUUUUGAAUCUUCUGUUAUGCCAAUUUUUAAAUGCCUUCAAUUGACACCUAAAAACGUAUAUUUUGGGUCAUACAAAUAUAAAUUUUAAAAGCCGUAAUUCACAGGGAGUUUGGGCAUAUAUAAGCCCCCAUAUACACUAACUCUGGUGCUAUUUUCUCCAGGUACAUACUCUCUUCUUACACUGUGCGUUCUUGUAUCUAUUUCACAGCCAAUUCUUGGAAUGUUGACACUCAUUUAAUAACUGAAGAAUACACGAAUGAGUGAAUAAAAGUACAUUCAAAGGUAUACAUAGCAGCAUACUCAAUGCAUGUUAGUGUAAAAUAUUUUGCUGAUGAAUUGACUCUAGAAAAUGAAUUCCACUUCUACCACAGGAAAGUUAAGACUUCUUGGCAUUUUUGUGGGCAACAAAUCAAUUAUCCUGAUUAUUUUUAAAAUAUUUAUUAUUUUAGUUCCAGUGUUGUGAGCAAGGUAAGACAAAAAGAACAAAGAGGCUGAGUCCAUGUGACAUUCCAAAGCUGCUGUAACAGAGAAAAAAUAAUGAUGGGGUUGGUGGUUAGGGGGAUAAGGGACCCAAAGGAUAACCAUAGAUAUAGAAACUUUGGCUGUUCAUGACCCUGCAGACUUCUUGGACCCUCUAUGUCCUUAUCUGCACUAUCUACCUUUUCUGGUUUUUAAUGGGCCUGUUGACCUAUGGCUAGAACUCUCAGGCAGGUAUCACAAACCAUAUCAGCACAGUUCUUUAUUUCAGUGGCCAAUAAAUAUAAAUAUUUAGCUUUGAGGUUAUGUGUUCCUCAGAACUGAGGUUCCCUGAAUCAGAUAGCUUAUUUGUUGAUUUAUUUUUAUUGUCUAUGUUUCACUUAAAAAAAAUCUGAUUUACAGUAUAAAGCUUUAAAAAAUAAAUUUAUCAUGAAGUUCACAUUUUCCUGCAGUGACUAUUUAGUAAGUACCUACUUCAUUGCAGGCUCUCUGUUAGGUACUGAAAACACAAUAGUGAAAUGCAAUAGACAAGCCUAUGUCUUCCUAUAGCAGUAUCUGGUGAGAUCAUGGGUUAGGAAAUGGAUAGCUGCAUCUCAAAGUAACACAUCUUGGCAAUAAUAGCAACAGAGGGACUAUAGGAGCAAAGAGGGGAGGGGACUAAGCCUGAAGCAUUGAGAGAAGGAGUCAGAAAAGACUACGGGGAAGAAAUGAUGUCGAACUGGAAAGAGGAAGAAUGAUGAAGAAUUAUUCAGGGAAGAAAUGUCAGGGGAAAAAAAGGAAUAGAAUGUGGGAGGGCCUGGGGAAAAGGCAAAGAGAGGAAUGGGCAAGGAAAAUCAGUGUGACUGAAAUCAAAGGACCAGGGGUAAGUCCGAGAGAUUAGGCUGGGGAGGUUAGCAGUAGUCAGGUUAUCCAGAGCCCUGUGAGCACAUGGAGAAUUGGAGAAUAACAUGAUCAAAUUUACAUUUAAGAACCAUUACUCUGGCUGUGAUGCGGAAGAUGACAUGAACAAGACAAGACAAGGGGCUUAGUUAGAUACCAUCACAUGGUAAUGUAAGUAAGAGAUGAGGCUGGCCUGAACCUGAGCUUUUGCAGUGGGGAUGGAGAGAAGUGAAUGGACUGGAGAGAAAUUUUGAGGUAGAGGGUACAAGAUUCAUUAAUAAAUGAAGGGAAGAACAGCAGGGUCAAGAACUAUGCCCAAGUUUCUGACUUUAUAGUAUUUCCAGUCACUGAGUCAAGGAAAAAAAAGAUUGAAUGAUUCAGGAAUAGCAGUUCAGAUUUAGGCAUGUGAAAUCAAGUUAUCUUUGGGAUAGACUACAGUAAUUUUCAGUUGUCAGGUAUAGCUGCAGGUUUAAAGCUCACGUGAAAAAUCAGACUGAGAUGGUAUUCUCAGAAUUAGCCUGUAGAAAGCAACUGAAACUGGUAACAUGUAAAGACACCAAAGGAGACU
rnacentral:lncRNA from 1 species